rnacentral:rRNA from 1 species
GAUGAACGCUGGCGGCGUGCCUCAAACAUGCAAGUCGAGCGGGGCUAUGUAAUAUCGCAAGGUAGAACAUAGCCUAGCGGCGAACGGGUGAGUAACACGUGGGUAACCUGCCUGGAAGACAGGGAUAACGAUUCGAAAGGGUCGCUAAUACCUGAUAAUAUCCUUUCAUCGCAUGGUGAUAGGAAGAAAGGGGAAACCCGCUUUCAGAUGGGCCCGCGUCCCAUCAGCUAGUUGGUAAGGUAAAGGCUUACCAAGGCGACGACGGGUAGCCGGUCUGAGAGGAUGUACGGCCACACUGGGACUGAGAUACGGCCCAGACUCCUACGGGAGGCAGCAGUUGGGAAUCUUAGGCAAUGGACGAAAGUCUGACCUAGCGACGCCGCGUGAGGGAAGAAGGCCUCGGUUGUAAACUCUGUCAUGGGGAAGAAGUAAGUGACGGUACCCAACGAGGAAGCCCUGCUAACUACGUG